rnacentral:rRNA from 1 species
GUGCAGCAGUCGCGAAACCUUCGCAAUGCGGGAAACCGCGACGAGGGACUCCCAGUGCCUACGCUCAGCGUAGGCUGUUCCCGAGCCUAGAAAGCUCGGGGAGUAAGGGCUGGGUAAGACGGGUGCCAGCCGCCGCGGUAAUACCCGCAGCCCGAGUGGUGGCCACUAUUAUUGGGCCUAAAGCGUCCGUAGCCGGCCCGGUAAAUGCCUGGGUAAAUCGUGAGGCCUAACCUCACGAAUUCCGGGUAGACUGCCGGGCUAGGGACCCGGAGGAGGGAGAGGGUACUCCAGGGGGUAGGGGUGAAAGUCCUGUAAUCCCUGGAGGACCACCGGUGGCGAAGGCGCUCUCCUAGGACGGGUCCGACGGUGAGGG